GCGGGCGUAGCUCAGUUGGUAGAGCGUUGGCUUCCCAAGCCAAAGGCCGCGGGUUCGAUUCCCGUCGCCCGCUCCA
rnacentral:tRNA from 1 species